rnacentral:rRNA from 1 species
UACGUAGGGUGCAAGCGUUUGUCCGGAAUUAUUGGGCGUAAAGAGCUCGUAGGCGGUCUGUCGCGUCUGCUGUGAAAACCUAGGGCUUAACUCUGGGCGUGCAGUGGGUACGGGCAGGCUGGAGUGCGGUAGGGGAGACUGGAAUUCCUGGUGAGCGGUGAAAUGCGCAGAUAUCAGGAGGAACACCGGUGGCGAAGGCGGGUCUCUGGGCCGUAACUGACGCUGAGGAGCGAAAGCAUGGGGAGCGAACAGG